rnacentral:rRNA from 1 species
GACGAACGCUGGCGGCGUGCUUAACACAUGCAAGUCGAACGGAAAGGCCCUGCUUUUGUGGGGUGCUCGAGUGGCGAACGGGUGUGUAUCACGUGUGUAACCUGCCCUUGACUUUGGGAUAACUUUAGGAAACUGGGGCUAUUAUCGGAUAGGAGCUCCUGCUGCAUGGUGGGGGUUGGUAAGAUUCGGCGGUUGGGGAUGGACUGGCGGCUUACCAGCUUGUUUGUGAGGUAGUGGAUUACCAAGGCUUCGACGGGUAGGCGGCCUGAGAGGGUGGCCGGCCACAUUGGGACUGAGAUACGGCGCAGACUGGUACGGGAGGCAGCAGUGGAGAAUAUUGCACAGUGAGCGGAAGCCUGAUGCAGCAGCGCCGCGAGCGGGAUGACGGCCUUCGGGUUGUGAACCGCUUUCGCCUGUGACGAGGCGUGAGUGACGGUAAUGGGUAAAGAAGCACCGGCUAACUACGUG